AAAGCAUCGAAGAUAGAUGGGUCCGAGACCAAGGAUGAACAAAAUCUAAAACACGAUGAGGGAAAGUUUAUAUUUGAGAAUGGGGACAUUUAUGUUGGAGAAUACAAACUUGAUCAUGAACGGUUUGUACUGGUUAAGCAAGACGUGCUGAAAUAAUUCUUGACGAUACUUUUUAAAGUUUAAAUAAUAAAUACACGAAUGACUGAAGGUAUAAUAACGAUGCUCGGUAUCGAGGUAAAAUCGAUUCGAACGGAAGAAUAAGCGGCCAAGGAACGUACACGUUUCCCGACGGAUCCACUAUUCGAGCCGAUUGGUUUGAAAAUAAACCGUUUAAAAAUAUUGUUUAUCGAGAGCCCCUAGGAUUCGCGUGGGUAGUAGAGAACGUAUCGAAGAAUGUAAACGAAUCGAGUGUAAUACAUAUUUGAUAUUUUCAAUAUUUUGCGAUAAAGAGAAAUAAUUUUAAUUAUAAUCGCAGAUGAUAACGUUUUCUUCUGGGAACCAUUUCUGGAACGACAUGUUAACGGAUCAAAGCAUCGGAAAUGGUAUCGAAUCCGCUGAAGAAAAUUAACUCUAUCGAGCUCGCAACGAAUCGAAGAACUU